rnacentral:misc_RNA from 1 species
AGCAGCCGCGGUAAUUCCAGCUCCAAUAGCGUAUAUUAAAGUUGUUGCAGUUAAAAAGCUCGUAGUUGAAUUUCGGGAUUGGCGCAUCGGUCGUGCCUCACGGGGUAUGAACUGGUGCAGUCAAUUUCUCACCUUCUGGAGAACCGCGAUGUCCUUAAUUGGAUGCCGCGGGGAACCAGGACCUUUACUUUGAAAAAUUAGAGUGUUUAAAGCAGGCAUUUUUGCUUGAAUACAUUAGCAUGGAAUAAUAAAAUAGGACGGCAUGGUUCUAUUUUGUUGGUUUCUAGGACCACCGUAAUGAUUAAUAGGGAUAGUUGGGGGCAUUAGUAUUCAAUUGUCAGAGGUGAAAUUCUUGGAUUUAUUGAAGACUAACUACUGCGAAAGCAUUUGCCAAGGAUGUUUUCAUUAAUCAAGAACGAAAGUUAGGGGAUCGAAGACGAUCAGAUACCGUCGUAGUCUUAACCAUAAACUAUGCCGACUAGGAAUCAGACGAUGUUAAUUUUUAAUGACUCGUUUAGGC